AGUGAACGCUGGCGGUAGGCCUAACACAUGCAAGUCGAACGGCAGCACAGUAAGAGCUUGCUCUUACGGGUGGCGAGUGGCGGACGGGUGAGGAAUACAUCGGAAUCUACUUUUUCGUGGGGGAUAACGGAGGGAAACUUACGCUAAUACCGCAUACGACCUACGGGUGAAAGCAGGGGAUCUUCGGACCUUGCGCGAUUGAAUGAGCCGAUGUCGGAUUAGCUAGUUGGCGGGGUAAAGGCCCACCAAGGCGACGAUCCGUAGCUGGUCUGAGAGGAUGAUCAGCCACACUGGAACUGAGACACGGUCCAGACUCCUACGGGGGGCAGCAGUGGGGAAUAUUGGACAAUGGGCGCAAGCCUGAUCCAGCCAUACCGCGUGGGUGAAGAAGGCCUUCGGGUUGUAAAGCCCUUUUGUUGGGAAAGAAAAGCAGCAGGUUAAUACCCCGCUGUUCUGACGGUACCCAAAGAAUAAGCACCGGCUAACUUCGUG
rnacentral:rRNA from 1 species